UACGGGGGGGGGCAAGCGUUGUUCGGAAUUACUGGGCGUAAAGGGUCUGUAGGUGGCCAACUAAGUCAGACGUGAAAUCCCUCAGCUUAACUGGGGAACUGCGUCUGAUACUGGUUGGCUUGAGUGCAGGAGAGGAAUGCGGAAUUCCAGGUGUAGCGGUGAAAUGCGUAGAUAUCUGGAGGAACACCGGUGGCGAAGGCGGCAUUCUGGACUGCAACUGACACUGAAAGACGAAAGCCAGGGGAGCAAACGGG
rnacentral:rRNA from 1 species